GGAAAUCCAGGGAGUGGAGAUACCUAGAUCAAGUCUGAGGGGCAAAGAAAAAGCAAGGAAGAUAAGAAAUUAAUGAUAACAUAUAGGAACUGCACAAAAUGUUAAAACUCACUGCUAAUCAGAAAAUAACAGUUCAAAGCCGACAACAUGAGGAUGACAAACACACAAGGAAUUGCAACUACGUUCCAUGGUGUAGUUUUCAGAAACCUCCAUUAUCUGCAAUGCAGUCCAUUCUGCUGGAACCAGCUACUCCUUGCAAACAGAAGAGGCAAAGAUUUAUUAUCAUCAGAACACAUGGAUAUUAGAAAAUGGACUAAUGGAAACCAUUAAUGUCCUCCUCUCAACAAUCAGAUGAGUGGUAGAUCAAUGCAGUAUAUAAAUAUAUUGGAAAUUAUUUAAGAUGAUAAAAACAUUAAGUCUCAGAUAUUUGAUGGGAGGAAAGCAAGCAAGACAAGGACAACACUCUAACACACCGCUGCACCUAAGAAAAAAAAACCCACCAUAUUUUAAGACAUAUUUUCUGUAUAGGAUUUUGAUCUCUUUAAAGAGAUAAUAUUGAAAAACUGCUCUGCACUCUUCCAUAAUAUCAUCUAACUUUGAUAUUAAACAGUUUAUCUCCUUAGAAAGCAUCCUUAUUGCCUGUAACAUGAAUACAUGAAUAAAUUCAUUGUAUUCUACAGGUAAAAUAAUAAUACUCAGAGUUUGCAGACAAUAAUUGGUUUUUUUUUAGUAUCAAUGACUCUUUUGUUUGCAGCUUGUGUAUAACACUGUAAAAAGAAAUUAUUAAAUAUGAUUGAUAUAACAGUUGCAGUUGCAUUACCCACACUCAUUCUAUAUAAACCUCAAAGGAAAACCUCAAAGAAGGGAAGAAGAAAACUAUAAAGGAAAAUAACUGCACAAGUACUUUAUAUUAGCCUGGCAUCAUGCAUAAAAAUAAUAUAAUGUUUGUAAGUGAAUGAUUCUUAAGCUUUAGGGAAUAACUGAAUUUUUUAUGCGGUCACAUUUCUUGGAAAAUAUCAGAAGCCUUAGGAUUCAAGAAAUUUUCCUUCUCAGCUAAAAUUUUGCAAAGGUCAGUCCAUUCCCAUUUUCAGGACUUAAU